rnacentral:rRNA from 1 species
GCCUACCAUGCAAGUCGAGCGGGGUUUUCGGACCUAGCGGCGGACGGGUGAGUAAUGCGUAGGAAGCUACCCGAUAGAGGGGGAUACCAGUUGGAAACGACUGUUAAUACCGCAUAAUGUCUACGGACCAAAGUGUGGGACCUUCGGGCCACAUGCUAUCGGAUGCGCCUACGUGGGAUUAGCUAGUUGGUGAGGUAAUGGCUCACCAAGGCGACGAUCUCUAGCUGGUUUGAGAGGAUGAUCAGCCACACUGGAACUGAGACACGGUCCAGACUCCUACGGGAGGCAGCAGUGGGGAAUAUUGGACAAUGGGCGCAAGCCUGAUCCAGCCAUGCCGCGUGUGUGAAGAAGGCCUUCGGGUUGUAAAGCACUUUCAGCGAGGAGGAAGAGUUGUGUGUUAAUAGUACACAGCUUUGACGUUACUCGCAGAAGAAGCACCGGCUAACUCUGUGCCAGCAGCCGCGGUAAUACAGAGGGUGCAAGCGUUAAUCGGAAUUACUGGGCGUAAAGCGCACGUAGGCGGUUUUUUAAGUCAGAUGUGAAAGCCCCGGGCUCAACCUGGGAAUUGCAUUUGAAACUGGAAAACUAGAGUGUGUGAGAGGGGGGUAGAAUUCCAAGUGUAGCGGUGAAAUGCGUAGAGAUUUGGAGGAAUACCAGUGGCGAAGGCGGCCCCCUGGCACAACACUGACGCUCAGGUGCGAAAGCGUGGGGAGCAAACAGGAUUAGAUACCCUGGUAGUCCACGCCGUAAACGAUGUCUACUAGCUGUUCGUGGUCUUGUACUGUGAGUAGCGCAGCUAACGCACUAAGUAGACCGCCUGGGGAGUACGGUCGCAAGAUUAAAACUCAAAUGAAUUGACGGGGGCCCGCACAAGCGGUGGAGCAUGUGGUUUAAUUCGACGCAACGCGAAGAACCUUACCUACUCUUGACAUCUAGCGAAGAUUGUAGAGAUACGAUUGUGCCUUCGGGAACGCUAAGACAGGUGCUGCAUGGCUGUCGUCAGCUCGUGUUGUGAAAUGUUGGGUUAAGUCCCGCAACGAGCGCAACCC